AAGUCGUAACAAGGUUUCCGUAGGUGAACCUGCGGAAGGAUCAUUAAUAAAUGCUUCAUUGCAUCCACCUUUUGUGCACCGUAAAUUUUCACUUAAACUUUGUCUGAUUUAUAUCUGUUCUGAAAGGAACAUGAAUUGUAAUCUAAUACAACUUUUAACAAUGGAUCUCUUGGCUCUCGCAUCGAUGAAGAACGCAGCGAAAUGCGAUAAGUAAUGUGAAUUGCAGAAUUCAGUGAAUCAUCGAAUCUUUGAACGCAUAUUGCGCUCUCCGGCAUUCCGGAGAGCAUGCCUGUUUGAGUCUUGGUACCAAUCUGGUGUAACCUUUGUAUUAAGGAUAGAACUUUUUAUAAAAAACUGCAUUGAGACGUCUUGAUAAGUAAAAUUGUUAAGUGUCUUAAAAUACAAUAGUACAGCUAUAGCUCACCCUCUUUGGAGUAAUAUGUGACCUGAAAGGGUAACUCUAUUUCUCCUCGUUGGGAAGACUUGUUGCUGGAAGUUUUUGAUUGCUGAAAGUCAAAGGCGGCAUUCAAUUGUUCGAGUAACGACGAACUUAAAAAUUCAAGCUCAAAUCAGGUAGGAUUACCCGCUGAACUUAA
rnacentral:rRNA from 1 species